CGGGUACUAGUGUUGUAGCCUGUGGAAUGCUCUCCGUUACUGUGUUUCACGGGCAUCUCAGGAAUCAAGUACACAAGAGAGGACUUGCUAACCAUCAGAGCCUUCUUCUGACUUUUUUUUUUGACAACUCCCGCCAAUUUGCUGAAACUUUUUUGAGAGUUGCUAGUCACUAGCUCUUCAAAGGAUCGCGAUCCGGUACACAAGUCCGGCUGUGUAAGCGGGGACAUCGCCUAACGCUUUAGACGAAAGACUUUGGAUGUUCUGCAGCUCUGUGCUUCACGGAGACUUGGCUUUGUGGACGAUUGCCCGACGCUGCUAUCACGCUGCCCGGUCUCAACCUCCAUCGUGCUGAUGUGUCGCCGAGCGAACAAGCUUGAUCGAUACUAUUUUCAGAAGGCCAACAUUACAAGGGCAAAUAAGUGAGGUGGGAAGAGUCGAGUGGUUUCCUUCGUUUCACUAAUCUCCCUGAAACCUGAGCCUUUAUUGGCUCUGAAGGGCAAUAUAAGGCUAAGCGCCCUCCAGCCCUGUGCGAAGGUCUCUACCGCUGGGCUCCACACAAACCUCCGACAUGCCCGGACCCCGCUCCCACUCAUGUGGCAAGUCUCCUCAUGGCCCUCAUACGUCUGCCUGGAAAUAUGACGACGUGCUCAACGUCUUCAUCAUCCAGCGCUGAAAACUUUCGAGCCACCUAAAAAGUUUCAUUCAAGGGAACAGCCUCCUCUUCUGGACAAAAGUGAAAACAGCAAAGCGUGUGAUGGAGCCCUCAUAGCUUGUGUGGGGCGUGUAACACCCUUGUUGCUAUGAGUCCCACAAAUCAAGUUUACAGCAAUCGAGGUAGUUCUUCAGGUAAUGAAAUAGCAUUUUAUCACCACGACUGGAGUGAUGCUAAAUGCUUUAAAAAUCAGGCUCCCGACUCCUUCGGUGUCCCUUAGGAAAUCUUAA